GAUGAACGCUGGCGGCGUGCCUAAUACAUGCAAGUCGAGCGAACGGACGAGAAGCUUGCUUCUCUGAUGUUAGCGGCGGACGGGUGAGUAACACGUGGAUAACCUACCUAUAAGACUGGGAUAACUUCGGGAAACCGGAGCUAAUACCGGAUAAUAUUUUGAACCGCAUGGUUCAAAAGUGAAAGACGGUCUUUCUGUCACUUAUAGAUGGAUCCGCGCUGCAUUAGCUAGUUGGUAAGGUAACGGCUUACCAAGGCAACGAUGCAUAGCCGACGUGGGAGAGUGAUCGGCCACACUGGAGGUGAGACACGGUCCAGGCUCCUACGGGAGGCAGCAGUAGGGAAUCUUCCGCAAUGGGCGAGAGCUUGACGGAGCAACGCCGCGUGAGUGAUGAAGGUCUUCGGAUCGUAAAACUCUGUUAUUAGGGAAGAACAUAUGUGUAAGUAACUGUGCACAUCUUGACGGUACCUAAUCAGAAAGCCACGGCUAACUACGUG
rnacentral:rRNA from 1 species